rnacentral:rRNA from 1 species
GACGAACGCUGGCGGCGUGCUUAACACAUGCAAGUCGAACGGUAAGGCCCUUCGGGGUACACGAGUGGCGAACGGGCGAGUAACACGUGGGUGAACUGCCCUGCACUUCGGGAUAAGCCUGGGAAACUGGGUCUAAUACCGGAUAGGACUCCUGGCUUCAUGGUUGGGGGUGGAAAGCUUUUGCGGUGUGGGAUGGGCCCGCGGCCUAUCAGCUUGUUGGUGGGGUAAUGGCCUACCAAGGCGACGACGGGUAGCCGGCCUGAGAGGGUGACCGGUCAAACUGGGACUGAGAGACGGCCCAGACUCCUACGGGAGGCAGCAGUGGGGAAUAUUGCACAAUGGGCGCAAGCCUGAUGCAGCGACGCCGCGUGAGGGAUGACGGCCUUCGGGUUGUAAACCUCUUUCAGCUAUGACGAAGCGCAAGUGACGGUAGUAGCAGAAGAAGGACCGGCCAACUACGUGCCAGCCGCCGCCGUAA